rnacentral:rRNA from 1 species
UUGGAGGGCAAGUCUGGUGCCAGCAGCCGCGGUAAUUCCAGCUCCAAUAGCGUAUAUUAAAGUUGUUGCAGUUAAAAAGCUCGUAGUUGAAUUUCGGGAUUGACACAUCGGUCGUGCCUUAAGGGGUAUGAACUGGUGUAGUCAGUUUCUCACCUUCUGGAGAACCGCGAUGUCCUUAAUUGGGUGCCGCGAGGAACCAGGACCUUUACUUUGAAAAAAUUAGAGUGUUUAAAGCAGGCAUUUUGCCUGAAUACAUUAGCAUGGAAUAAUAAAAUAGGACGGAUGGUUCUAUUUUGUUGGUUUCUAGGAUCACCGUAAUGAUUAAUAGGGAUAGUUGGGGGCAUUAGUAUUCAAUUGUCAGAGGUGAAAUUCUUGGAUUUAUUGAAGACUAACUACUGCGAAAGCAUUUGCCAAGGAUGUUUUCAUUAAUCAAGAACGAAAGUUAGGGGAUCGAAGACGAUCAGAUACCGUCGUAGUCUUAACCAUAAACUAUGCCGACUAGGAAUCAGACGAUGUUAAUUUUUUAAUGACUCGUUCGGCGCCUUACGGGAAAC